AACAUUUUAAGUUAAAAAAACUAAUAGCCUUCAAAGCUGUAAUUGAAACUAAGAUUCAAAUGUUA
rnacentral:tRNA from 2 species